rnacentral:rRNA from 1 species
UAAUACCAGCACCCCGAGUUGUCGGGACGAUUAUUGGGCCUAAAGCAUCCGUAGCCUGUUCUGCAAGUCCUCCGUUAAAUCCACCUGCUCAACGGAUGGGCUGCGGAGGAUACCGCAGAGCUAGGAGGCGGGAGAGGCAAACGGUACUCAGUGGGUAGGGGUAAAAUCCAUUGAUCUACUGAAGACCACCAGUGGCGAAGGCGG